UGAUUGCGAAGAUCUUCUCGG
rnacentral:piRNA from 1 species